CCUGUAAAAGAGCAGAACAGAACCAGAGCUCACAGAAACGCACGCAUUGAAGAGAAGCAGCGUGGUAUAGCUCAGUAAUAGAACCAUCCAACUCUCAGCACAGUUUGGCUGAAAGCAGUCCUGAAAAUGCAAUCCCGAUUCAACCCUUUUGAAAGGUACUUAGUACUGUCCAAGGUACGUAUGUUGCAUGUAUUUGCUUUGCUUAACGAAUUAAAUUAAUACGGCUAUGAGUAUAAACGUAGUUAAAUAAUGUACAAACUGUAGUUCAUCCAAUCUCUAGAGAAAUUUGCAAGGUAACUCAUUUUGAUUGGACUAUAACAUUUCUAUUUUUCCAGAAUCUGUUUUUGCUUUAAGAGACCCUCCGAUAAUAAACUUGAAAACACAGGAGAAAAGGAAAGAAUUUUAAAAUCAAACUAAGUGGCUUAUUUGCAUUGGGAUCAAGGUUUCUCAGUAAAUGGUCUCAGGAUUAAAGACAUCAUGCAUUACAAAAAUCUGCAGCUCCAGAGGGGAAAAUAAAAAAUGCAACAAGUCCUCCAAGAUGUAGUAAUAAGCAACGUGGAGGCUUCUGGGUAAAAAUGAAGAUGAGUGACCGCCGCGUCGUCGUCGACACGACUCUGACCCUCCAAAGGCGGAGAUUCAGUAUGCUGAUAUGUGUGGGUGGGGAAGACAUGGGGAAUGGGUGAGGACACUGGUGAUUAAUUUCAGGGGCUGUGUUUCUAAGUAUUUUAUGAAUAAAAUGGUGAAUCAUCACUUAAAAUGAAAUCACCGUAUGCAUCUAGUUGCAUCUGAGAACCACGCGCGUUGAUUAUAUCCUCAGAAUUCUAGGGCAGGCUGGAAGAAUCAGCGGCCAGGGGUGUAAAUAUGCUGAUCACGAGGCCCGAAGCAGCUCCCCAAACGUUUGCACUCGGCCCCUCCUGCACGGUCCAGUAGGUCUCAAAGUUUCCUCUCGGAGCGUCUGCUCACAGUCUCCCUCCAGUCCAGUUCAACUAUCUGUUUUUGUUUUCAGGUCUCUCUUCUCUUCUGCCCUCUGAGAUGGGGUGCUACAGUGCUGUUCACAGGGCAGGUGGCAUGGGAGGCAUGUUUUGGAAAACCGUUUAAAUGGCCAGUGACAAAGAAGAAGAAACAAGCUAGCUAUGACUGUGUUAAAGCCAAUAGUUUAAUGCAUACAAUGGUGAAAAUGCGUGGCUCAGCUAAUCUUCCUGAAUAUAUAUUAGGAGGUAUUUUACGUUCUAAUGUGGCAAAGUGAAAUAAUAUACUACAAGCUACUGUGUAUACUAACCCCAAAAUAGUAAUCUUCUCUAUUAGACAUUAUAAUGUUGCUACAAAGAGGCCUGAAAAUUUCCCAAUAAAAGGCAAUUGUUACAAAAGAAUAACUGAAAGUUAUUUCAUAAGGGUGACAAAUGUUCAUGUACAUUUAUUUUAUAAACGUAAUAAUCCACAGCAAAGAUUUACAGUGAUUAUUUAAUUAGAAUUACUGCUAGGAGUAUAUAAAUGUUUUGUUUAAAUAGUCAGGACCAGGAAGGUUUUCCUUGCUAUUUAGCCAGUUUCUGUGUUCACAACCUUGUUUGGGGUUAUUACAGACAACGAAUGGUGCUCCAGGUUUACUUAACUCACAGAUCUUUUUAGAAAGAUACUUUAAGUAGGUGUUAAAAUGGAAAACAAAAGUCCUCUGUAUAUAAUAAAAUACUAACUUAUUAGCUACGUUAUGGUUUUCUUACCUUAAAAUUGAGCAAACCCAUUGCAGUUUCCACAAAAGGGAUUAAAUUCAUAGGUUGUUCAAGUUUGCGGCCUUUUAAGUAGAGUGAAAAUUUGUCUGAAAACUAAAAUAAAAAGUGUCAUAGGUGAUGAUUAGAGGGAGAAACACGUACAAUCAUCGAGCUGUAGAAUACAAGUAGUAUUUAAGUCUUUGACCUGAGGCAGUAAUAUCCCAGCCUCUCGUCCACAUUAAAGAAUUUAAAAAAAAGAAAGAAAAAAAGGAGAAAGACCAAAGGAAAAAGGUAACAAAGUUCCCACUAAACUAAAUAGUAAAACCCCAAGCAUGAUAAUUUUUUUUUUCUUCCUGAAGGAGCAAUUUGAGGCCUAGGAGUUAGAGGUGGAAGGAGAGAUUCUUGAGUUUAGAGGCUUUCCUUGAAAACAUAUUUGCUGAAGACCUUUUGCCUUCACUUCGUCCAGCGCAAGUGGCAGCCCCUAAAACAAUGCAGGCUUGCUCUACCUGCCAUUCCGUUUUUGUUUCGGACCCAGCACGGACCCCAGUGUAACUGUUCAGCAGCCUUCUACAUGGAAUCCAUAUGAUUCAUUAUAGUAACACUGCCCUUUGUUCAGAGGUUUUUCUUCAUAAUUUUUUAGCUUACCUAGGAAGACCUUAAAAAGGAAGUUUAAUUCUUUGAAGACCAAAGCUCGCCAAUUUUUUCCAUGAGACCAGUUCACAGCGAGCUCUGUACUGCCAGUGGGGUAGCCCAAAUUCCAAAAUCUAUCAUCUGGAAACAUACAAAAGCUCUUGCACAGAUCUCCCCCCACCCCUUUCAAAGAGGGGGGAAAAAAAAAAAAACACACACCACACUCUAAAUUGUAAAUCUAUUAUGUCUAUCUAGAUCUAAUAAGAUGUGGGGAGAUAAAACACACACUCACAGGUAUGAUAAAGAUAUUUUUGUAAAUAAAGAUGAAAACAUAUAUAUCCAUUUUAAAUUUAAGGAAUAUUCAGCCAUUAAUGGAUAUCAAAGGAAAAGGGAAUUUUAAUCAUCUCUCCCUUCAGUCUCAGUUGGGUAAAUCAUAUCUAAGAGAUUUGCAUAAAUAUAAACCAUCAAAGACUUUUCAUCUUCAAAGGGGGUUUCAAGACCCUGUAAGCUUUGUACUGUAAUCAUCGCAGGUCACCACCCUGCAGGAAUAGGGCUGCUAUGGCAACAUAAAAAAACUAAUGCUUAAGGCUUAGCAUAAUAUUCUGACUAAUAGAAAGGAAACUCAUUUUAAAAGCUGGCAGCCUAUUUACCAGAAGCAGGAUUAGAGGUGUUAUUUCCCCUUUUAGCUGCCCCCUCCUUGCCUGUGCAGCCCCCCCUCCCCCCAAAAUCUAAUCACUGGGAUCUUUAAAAAGCUUUUGAGCAAUUUGCAGUAACUUUACAAUUAGGCUAAAAUAAAUCACAGCUUUCAGUAAUGAAGAAUUAUUCCCAGUCGCUUCCACUGCCCCCUCCCUUCCUCCACCACCACCAUCACCUCCUUAGAAACUUUACAAGGGAAGGAAGAACGCAACCAAAAUAGCAAGAACGAAGGGAAGGCUACAAUGUAAGGGGCCAAAAUGUAUAGUAUUCCAUGAAAACGAAAAUAAAAUAUAAUUUAUGUCACCUUUAAGCUAAAAAAUGGGUAGUAAAAUACUAGUGGUUUUGGUGUUUACCUAUGCAUUGGGGGAAAUUUUUUUUUUCUCGUUAAAGAAACACCAAACUUGCCACGUUACUAGCUCCGUUUUUGGUGGUAACAGUUCUAACUACAAAAAUCGUAAAGUUGAGAACUAGGAAAAGCCUGUGCAAUAUAGUCCCUGUUCCUAGUGAGAAAAAUCUCUAAUGCCUUUUGUUUUUAAGCCAAUAGGGGGCAUUUAAAAAUUAAAUAUUCUAGCCCAUCCUCCUCCUCCUCCUCCCCUUCUUUCUUAAAAAAUUGCAUUAAGUACUAACACAAAAGGUAACUAGUGGAGAAGUUUCAAUUAAUUUUUUCAAAAGGAGACGAUUAAAUGUUUCCGGCCUGGUAAAGUGUUCAUUUCAGCGAGGUGGAGGGGACUGGGGGGCCGGGGGGAGGAGAAGAAGGGGGGACCAUCACAAAGAGAUUGGGGAGGAGAUGAAGUAGCAGGGCUCAGCAAUUCUUUCAAUUCCAGUGCACACCCAAUAGUGUGUUGGAAGAAUGCACCCUGUUCGGGAUUUGUGGGAGAAUUGUCCCGCGACAAAGGAGGCCGAGUCACGCUUGUUAUAGUCCAAUAAGCCGUGCCAGUCAAACAAGAACCCACACUAGCGACAAAAGGCCAGCAAGAGAUUCUCACACAAAAGAAAACAAGGAAGCCCAUCUUUCAGUUGUGCAUCAGGCUCUGGGUUUUAUGCUUCACAUAAAUACAAACGGAGAGGAAAAAAUAAACAGCCCCAAAGACUUCUGGUAACUAGAAAUCCUAUUUAGAUUGCGGUACGUUCACUCGCAUCCAAGGAUUUAAAAUAGCGAGCAGAAGCCGCGGCUGAAGGCCGGGCAGAGUCCUCAAGUGGGGGUGAUGACGGUGAUACACAGGCGUUAACUACGAAACCAAACGAGAACAGUGACUUCAGAUUCCAUUUCAAUCAACUUCAGACACAGUCGAAUGGGGGAGGAGCCGGUGAGGACCUUCAGCUACCAUCGCCAGGAUCUCCCAGCCUCUGAGGGGGGACCCUGAUGAGGAGAACGCCAGUGGAGAAAGUAAAUACGGGCGGGUGAACGCAGGGCUUCAGAAAGACACCAGUGCCCUGCUGUCUUGCAGAGAAAUAAGGGCAGCUUUGUAGGCAACGCUAAACCUUCCACUGGCUACAUUAAAAGAGUAAGAUGAAACAGGGUGCUAUGAAGUCUUCAGAGUCUCCUGUAUAUUUUACACGAGCAAGCACAUCUCAAUUUGGACUGGCCCCAUUUCAAGUGCUCAGUGGCCACACGUGGCAGGCAGCCACCGCACCAGGAAGCCCAGGGCCAACAUAUCUACCUGCACUCAGAAGGUGCCCUAAGGAGUGACCUUUUCCUCUCCUCCUCGAGGUUCAUUUUCUCCUUCUCAGCUAAUGUGCUUUUGCUGUCUGUGAUGACUUCAGAUGAACCUGCCUAAGAGCCAUGCACGUCACUGGAGGAGGGUUAGGGCCUGGCUGGGUGUUGUCUCAGCUACUGCUUCUCAGCCGCACCCGAGUCCUCAACUGAAGCAAAGCAUGAGUUACUCACCCAUCGGAUUUCUUCAGGACCUUCCACCUUUGGGAGCAUCAGGCUGGAAGGAAGGACCCGGGACUGCAGGAGGACCUCCAGGUCUUCUUCAGCCAGACCACUGGACACCGAGUUGAUUCUCACACACUUUUCAGUUGGGCCCAGAUCAAAGUCUUCAAGAGUUUUCACUAUUCUCAAUCGAGCUUCAUUCUGUGAGCGUAGAUGAAAAGGUACCUCCUAAGUUUAUUCAUCAACAGAGGAAACCAUCAAACCAUCCGUGAAACUGUCUUAUGGAUUCAGAGUCUGAGCACUGUUACUAUGCCCACCAAAUAAAUGGUAUUUGAAAUGAGUUGUCUACUCUGAUGGGCAAGUGAUUGAUUUCCAGACUUCAUGCAACAUGACUAUAGCAGAGGUGACAGCCACCGUAAUGCGUGCUGGAGAGCCCUGAACCAGCAGUCUCAUCGUGCUCAGCAGUAUCACUUUCCCAUUGGAAAGGUACAGUAAUUAAGAGGCAACAUUUAUUGAGUAUUUACUAAGCGCCAGGCAUGGUGCUAAGUGCUCUACCUACAUUUUCUCAUUUAAUAAACAUAAGAAACUGGAUAAUGUGGGUUAAUUGUAGUGCUGACUGCCAGCAUAUUCACAUUAGGGAAAAAAUAAGGGUUUGUUUUUCUCUUUCCACAUGCUUCAUAUUUUUUUAUUCACUUAAAAAUAUUUUUUUUUGCAACUGAGUUGAAUCUUGACAUUCAAUUAAGAAGGCGCUCACAGGAAAAUGACACUCCGCACUAUGAAAAAGCUCUAGCUUAUUCAGAUGGAAGGCAAUAACAUCACCAAGAAAUUCCUUCAUGAAGAGGUAGACAAAUACGUUUCUUUCCUUUGAUUUGACAGUCUUUGCUCCAUAGUUAAGAAAAGCUGAAAGGUUGAAAGUCUGCUUCAGUGUCUGAACUGUGUCCCCAGAAAAACUGUAUGAAACGAAACAUGCAAUUUAUCGGCUUUGAGUUGGGGGUGAUGACGGGGGGUGGGUAGGGAGUGGGGAGAGAGGAAUGCACUGAGGGGGUGGGGGCUGGAAUCAAGAGAAAGAAAGCACUUGGGGUCAUUACUUCCUGCCAAUUUCAGUUUCAAAAACAAAUUCCUCCAACUUGCCAACAGCCCUCAACAAAUUCUCAUUGUCAGAAUGAACACUUAUCAAAAGUAGUUUCAUUUGGAAAGGGUUUUUAUGAUACUCAUAAAACUUUAAAGCGUCUCACUGGUGAUGAAUGUGGUUUGAAAAGAAAAAAAAAAAAGUCUUAACAAUAUAUGGCCAUUUGAACAUCAGUAGUUAUUUAGGAAAAUAACAAACCAAAGCAGAGAGAAAGAAGAAUUACUCGAGCCAAUACUGAGCCUACGUCCAAUCAAGGAGACAAGCCAGGAUAGUAGAGUUAAACCAGACGGAUGUAGGUCUACCUCGGGUGGAAGCGGGGAAGGUGUCCGAAUUGGUCGGAGUUAAACCGUGUGAGGAAACUAGCUUAGAGGGGUCAGGUCAGGUGGAAACAGAGCGCAGAGGAGCCGUUUAAGGCAGCUCUGGGAGUCCCGACUUACUGAGCUCUGGCUGCCAACGAUCAGGCCAAGCUUAGACAAAAGCGCGAGAGAGCGCCUACUAGAGAGAGGAUGCAGCCCGCAGUGGCUUGGUCCCGCACCACGCUGUGGGCCUCCGCAGCCAUGAAACACAUCCACUGGCUCCACCACGCCCUUUUGCUACAACCACGGACUAGGAAAGUCCUGAAGGUGAAGAGCGGAAGCCCGCUCAAGAGCAUGGUCCAAGGCUGUCUGCGCUUCCUGCUGGUAUCCGAUCCCUGGCCUCAGAGAACCUCAGAUGUGCUAUGCUCCGCGCAGCCUGGCACGGCUACAAACUUGGGACGGUGAAGCUCAGAAAUGCUUCAGCUUCCAGGUUUCCUUUCAGGAGCAGGCCGGGCCUGUAAAGGGCGUACUGGGACAAAGGGAAUGGAAAAUGGAAGAGAACUAGAUCGUUUAGGCUGAAGCGCAUUUUAAAACAUGAGUUAUUUGAAUCAUCGUCUCCAUUCUCUAGUUUAAUCUGCAUGUGCACUCAUGGAUGCAGGAUCCCUGGCAACAUCGACUUCCUAAAUUGUUAAUGCUGGUGUCAAACAAAAUCUGACCUCUAAGCUAUUUAGUUGUUUCACUUGGACGUGGAGCGGACUGUUUGUUCAAAGCUCAUGUUCUAAACCUGUUUGUGAUUUUUAUCUAAAGUCAGAUUGCCAUGGUUUCAGCACAUUCUGGUUUGCUUAGUAAAAUCCAGCCCUUGUAAAAUUGGCUGCAAAUGAAGGACCCCAUUCCAAUUUUAGGCAUAAUCUGAUUAGUACUUUUCAUGUUAUAACAAUGAGCAGUGAAUACUCAGCAUUUUAUUAGACUUUUUUUUUUUUUUUUUUUUCCUCUUUCUGGCUCAGAAUUAAAACCAAGCUCUUUCCACUUCACCAUUCUGUACUUUUCCAAGAAGAGACGAUGGCUUUGGAGGUAUAGUGCCGUACAACACUCUUAUUAACAGGCUGUUGCUUGUGGCAAUUUACAUAAACGAAGUGUGCAUCUCUCUGCUAAUAUGUAUCCCAAAAUAUCCAACAACUUCACUGAUUUACACCAACGAACAAGCAUGUUGAUUUUUUUUUCUUUUUGGUAUUUUAAUGGUGAAAUAUGUUACUGUGCUAGCAAACACACCCAUGCCAUCUGUUGGGUGAGAGGAAGGCAGUUUCUAAGAACAAUUAAGUUUAGUCCUGGGUGUUCAGCUAGAGAGAGCCACAGUCCACCAGUUGUGAAAGGAAAGCAAUUCUGCUCAUGCUGUUUUCUCUCGCUCACACAGACCUUACUUCUUGCUACUCUCUUACUUCUCUCUUACACCUCUCUCCUCUCCACCGCCUCGCUCCCUUCACACUUUCAUUCUCUUUUUCUCUGGCUCCUGUUUGGCCAUGACCAUCCUUCCAAGUUCCAUCUCAUUAGGGGGAUUAGUGAGACGCGCGGCCUGGCAGACGCCACCUUCUCAGAAGGGCUCUCGGGUGAUCUGCUGAGAUUAUUGGGAGCUAAGUGCUCCCUGGAGAAAGAAGGAAAAGGAAAUGAAAGCAAAAAAGAGGCCACUCAAACAUGACCUUUUUGGGAGGCGUGGGAGGGGUCCUGCCAUUCUUGGUAGCAAACCAGGUUGGUCAAGACGAGGUUUCGAAGGAGCUGCGUUCUAAAGGUGUUAACACCCAAGGGUGGCCUUGGUGAGCAUGUCUCAGGGUGGACGAACUCGUCCGCUGACAGCCUGAGAAGGGGGAAUAAUGAAUUUCAGGCCUUCAUCACCUUCAUCAACAGCUACGUUUGGUUUUUUGCAGAGACUAAUUACCACCCUGUGUUCUGCAGCAGGUUUGAUUCCAGAGGUGGGCUGUGCAAAGGGCACAGGGAAAGUUGGCCCAGGUCAGAGUCUUCACAGGCCCGGGGUUCUAAAAGGUGGUGUUACCAAAGUUCCCACAUUCAAUCGAUAUUUCGUGCCAUGGGCUGCUCAGUGCAGUGGACCAGUGGUUAAUAAACUUGUCCUUAUCCAUAAGCCACCGUAUUAUGUGACUCUGUCUGGGCCGGGAACCAAGGCGUGCUAUGAUUUCAGAGACCUGCUUCUCAUCACCUGGGGGAGAGACACGCUCUGCUGACGUAAGAAAGCGGAUAAAUCAACCGUCACCGAGACCUGCAGACUCCGAAAUUAAAGGAGAAAAUAUGCGUGCAGUUGGUUCAAUUGGCACCCAUUAAAGCUAAUAACUAAUCAUCCUCACAAGUUUCUAGCUCAGAAUGAUCAAAUCUGCAAAGAAAACAACAUCCGUCCACUUUUACACUCCAGUGGAAGAGGUGGUCCCUCGCGGCGGGGCGGCACAGUCUCGCCAUCUGGAGAAUAAAUCGAGUGUGAAGUACAGUAUAGUUUGGGACCAGGCUCCGUGGUGGCAGCUCAGCAGUCAGUUCAUUAGUUCCAAACUUCCAGGGAUUAGAGCGGCAUCAAUUCUACUGUCGGAUAGGAAGAGACAGACAGGAUACGAGAUUCAAGGAGGAUUGUGACAACCAGGAGGAGCCCCUUGGGCUUAUUUAUAAAACUACAAAGUAUAAACAUACCCAAAUAAGUGUCUUAAAUAAUAGCAUUAUCACAGUUUCAUAACAUCUGAAUUAACACCUUUCUCUCCGUCCACGUCCACCCCUAAACCCUGUAUGUUAACGUACAGUUGUUUUCAGAGGAAAUAGCAGAGACGAGCCUGGAUGCAACAGGAGCACAGCGAGAAAGCUGCGAGGGCAAAAUGAGAUUUGGUAAUGAGGAAAUACGGGAGGCUUUCUAGGCUCCGGGAAGAGGCAUAGCCUUUGUGAUUUUUAAAAAAUGAGCAAUUAAUAAUUUCAUCCUAAAAGGCCAAUUGCCAUGUCACAUAUUCAAAAACAUGAGUGGAUUCUGUCUUUUCUGAAUCUGUCCAUCUCACCUCACUUCCAUUUUAUCUAAUUCAUAUGAAGAUGUCAUAGGCACGGACUGGAGCACAUUUUGGGCAGAUGGCCUUGAUGUGAGCAUCUACAUGGAAUGAUUUUUUUUUUUUAAUUUUGAGAUUGUUUGGUUUAAAACAAAAAAUUCUGAUGAAUUGUUCCAUUUAAAGAUCUCCUUUUUCAUGUAGCUUCUUUUUAUACAUUUCUAUUAAAAAAAAGUGCCCAUAACAUGCCAUCAUUAGUAAAUUACUGCAUUUUUCUUAUAAACAGAUAAAAAUGUAUUAUAAUCACAGACUCCUGUAGUGAUUGCAUUAGGAAAAAAAAAACAAAUUCUCAUUCAUUAUUACAACGUGGUGGUAUUUCUUUAGGCUAGGUGAUAGUGUUGGGCUUUCUAUCCCCUUGUUCUUCCCUAUGUGAAAAAAAAUCCUGAUUUGCCUGUUUUUGGAAGAAAAAAACAAAACUCUACAGCAAUGUCGAACAUACUAUGAGCUAACUGGUUUAAAAUUUCAUUCAUUGACGGAGUUCCUGUGGUGGCUCAGCAGAAAUGAAUUUGACUAGGACCCACAAGGAUGCACCUUCAAGUCCUGGCCUGGCUCAGUGGGUUAAGGAUCCCGUGUUGCCGUGAGCUGUGGUGUAGGUCGCAGACGCGGCUCGGAUCCUGCAUUGCUGUGGCUGUGGUGUAGGUCGGCAGCUAUAGCUCUGAUUUGACCCCUAUCCUGGGAACCUCCAUACGUCCAAAGAUGUUGGCCCUAAAGGACAAAAAAUAAAAUAAAAUUUCAUUCAUUGAUAAUACCAAAAGCACAGGUGACAAAAGAAAAAAAUACAAACUGAACUUCAUGAAAAUUUUUAAAAGACACUAUCAACAGAGUAAAAAGAAUGGGAGAAAAUACUUGCAAACCAUAUAUCUGAUAAAGGAAUACAUAUUCAGAAUACAUACAGAACUCUUAAAACUCAAUAUCAAAAAAAAUCCCCAAACACAAUUCAAAAAUGAGCAAAGGACUCAGAUAUUUCUCCUAAGAAGAUGUACAGAUGGCCAAUAAGCACAUGAAAAGAUGCUCAAUAUCACUGAUCAUUAGGGAAUGCAACGCAAAUCAAAAUUACAAUGAGAUACCGCCUCACACCCAUAAGGAUGGUUA